rnacentral:rRNA from 1 species
AGUGAACGCUGGCGGCGUGCUUAACACAUGCAAGUCGAACGGUAACAGGAAGUAGCUUGCUACUUUGCUGACGAGUGGCGCACGGGUGAGUAAUAUAUAGUUAAUGUGCCCCAAAGACCGGGAUAGCCACUGGAAACGGUGAUUAAUACUGGAUACACCUUCAUAUCACAAGGUAUGAAGGGAAAUGUCUUUUCGCUUUGGGAUCAGACUAUAUCCUAUCAGUUAGUUGGUGAGGUAAGAGCUCACCAAGGCAAUGACGGGUAGCGGGUUUGAGAGGAUGAUCCGCCACACUGGUACUGAGACACGGACCAGACUCCUACGGGAGGCAG